GAGCUUAUAUUUCAAUUGGUUAGAAAAUACCGCUCAUAACGGUAGGGUUACAGGUUCAAGUCCUGUUAAGCUUA
rnacentral:tRNA from 1 species